GCGAAUUAAUUCCGACUUUCACGUAUUAAAUCUCAAGAUUGAGGAUUUAAUUUAUAUAAAUACGACGAGUAUUUAUUAAACAAGAAUUGGAGAAUUAUUACAGGAACUAGGAGAAACUAGAUCACGGCACUACACGUAUUUCUCGAUUUUUCAUCCAACACAACAAUUCCUACAUGUUAGUCAAAAAGCAGCUCCCACAAUUGUCAAAAAGUUGCGGCAAGCCAUUCAACAAUGGCAACAUUUCUUUUCACACUGCAGCCACCUACCACCUCAAUUCCCUAUAAAUAAUCCUCGAAGCAGCAUUUGUAAAUACACCCAAAACCAAAGAAAAAAAAAGAUUCAUCUGCAAUCUAGAGAAAGAGAGGAGCAGGUGAAGGGUUGGGAGAAAAGGUGAAUAGUGAAGUACUGUUCAAGUGAAUAGUGACAGUCGUCGCGAAUAGUGAAAUUCGUGAAUAGUGAAAAUUAGAUAGUAAUUUUCACGGGGAAUAACGGGUUGUGAGUUGAGUGUUGUGAGUGUUGUAAACACUGUAUAUUUUUCUCCCUUGUUAAAUAGAUCUGCAGCAGCUCCGGAGACGUAGGCAUAAUUGGCCGAACUCCGUUAUCAAAUUUGUGUCUUUAUUUUGUCAAAAGAUGCAAAUUUCAACAAUCAAAUUUUCAAAAGUUGCAACUCCCGGUACCAAAAAUUUCCACCAUUUUGAUUAUGUUGUCUGCAGAAACUCCUCUAUAAAUUGAGGAGAGUUCUGCAGAAGGAAGAAGUGCAGCAAGAGGUGUGAGGCAAGAGAGAGUUUAGGAGAAUUUUUAAAAUUUCUUAAUUGCAAGAGCUCAAGUGAGCUCCCUUCGCCAGGCUAUUUCUUCGCCGACCGGCCACUAGGCUCUGAACCGAGAACGUGUACUCGUUCCUCCAUCUUCAGGCUACCAAACCCAACAAUCGAAAGGCCGAAGCCUUCUCUAUAUUUUCCUGACCAAAGGCCGCAAUAUCCUUCGGAGGCCAACGUCGAAUUCCCGACUUAGCCACCGGCCAACUUACGGCUUUCGUUUCUCACUAUCCUUACGACGAAAAAGGAUUGAGAAAACACCGUUGUGUAGCCUGAUCUACCUCGCACGAGGAAGACUAAGUCGUAGACCUUCGCGGCUAAACACCAUCGCGGAACGACGACCAGAAAACCCCCGACGAACAACUUCCAUUAGUGCUCACUUGGACAAGGGUUCAAAUAAACAAAAGCGUCUGAGUAACCUAUCGCGCUAAGGAAAGAGAAUCAUUGUCUUAAGUAGCAAAACACUGCAAUCAGGUGGGCAUUACUUUUACUAUACGUAUAUAGAGAUCCCCUACGUAUCGUAGGCCUCUUAUACGAAUGAAUGCAUGAGAUGAUCUAACUGUUAAUUUCAGUUUCAUAUAUAUCAAAUGAGUUUAAAUGUUACAUUCAAGCAAGUUAUUUCAUGACAAAAUCUUUGAGUUAAAGUUAUUUCAAGUAUUGUCUUGCCAUAAAAUGUUUAAAUUUUAGUAUGAUAUCUAUCUGCUUUGGCUUUGCCAAUGAUGCAAUCGAAUUCGGGUCCUGAGCAGUUGAUAGCUAUCCUGCCAGGACUAGUGUACACCAGUGACCGUGAGUCAUCUAGCGGGUUGGCCGGUCAAGUGACCGUGAGAGGUGGCCACCUCUCCGGCACACAGUUCCAGAUAUGAUAGAUUACAAGAGAACUUAGACUGCAGUCGAACUUUAAGAAUCACAAAUGAAUUUAGUAAGCUUGGGCCUUUUUAGCGAAAAACUCCCUUGCUGUACUGUUUAUGAUGGCACGACAAUUUACAGUUUUGAAGCAUGUAUUUUUAUACCUAGGCAUACGUGCCCACUGAGUGCUUUUGUACUCAGCCCUGCAUAUGUUUUCUAAAUGUGCAGGUUGAGCUGAUGUGAUGAUGGUGUUGCAAUGAGCGGAGUCUCCAGGGUUGUUAAUAAAUAGUUAACCUGUCUAGAAUAUGUCUUCAUACAUAUGUCUAGCUACUUUCCGCUGCAAGAUGUUGUUGAUGUUAUAGUAUGUUAUGUCAUACUUUGAGUCUUAAGAGAAUGGUUUCAUAUGAUGUAUAACUUGAUUAAUGAUAUUAAUUAAGUUUUAUGCUGUCUUUCAUAGACUAUUUUCAA